rnacentral:rRNA from 1 species
CGUAGGUGGCAAGCGUUGUCCGGAUUAUUGGGUUUAAAGGGUGCGUAGGCGGUUUUCUAAGUCAGCAGUGAAAUACGGCAGCUCAACUGUCGAGGUGCUGUUGAUACUGGGGAACUUGAGUACUGAUGAGGUAGGCGGAAUGGACGGUGUAGCGGUGAAAUGCUUAGAGAUCGUCCAGAACACCGAUAGCGAAGGCAGCUUACUAAGGAGUAACUGACGCUGAGGCACGAAAGUGUGGGGGAUCAAACAGGAUUAGAUACCCUGGUAGUCCACACUGUAAACGAUGAUUACUCGAUGUGUGCGAUAUACGGCACGCGUCUUAGCAAAAGCGAUAAGUAAUCCACCUGGGGAGUACGCCGGCAACGGUG